AACGCCUUCCCCACACUCAACAACUCAACCCUGCCCUCAAGAACUCUGCCCCAGGAAACCUCAGCUGGUGAACGAAACAAGAGUCGGCAUAACACGCUUAUUUUUAUUGUUCUCGUUCCAAAACUCCAAGGCACAUUCAGCAGCAGCCCCAGCUUGCUCCUCAGUGACCGAGCCCUUUUGACCUGGGAGACCUCCACAGAGCAGCUCUUCCCUGGAAGGAGUAAGAACACAUGCAUGAAGAUCCAGGCUUUGACCCAUCACUGCCUGGCCCUAUAAUGGUGGCAAGUCUAGUCCAAAGGCUCUUACGAAGGAGGGGCCAUCCUCAAUGACCUUCAAGCCUGCUUAUUAAAUAGUCGACUAAACUUGUUUCACAACUGCUACUCUGGUUCCUUGGUCAUCCAGAAAUUUCUUAGCUUUAAAUCAUUGCUCAGAUAUAAACUUACUAAUAAUCUUGUGCAAAACACUACACUCUUAAAUUUGUCCCUUUAUUUUGCGCGUACAGGUGCUUUGCCUGCAUCUGUGCACCCUAAGUGUGCAGUGCCCUCAGAGGCCAGAAGAGGAUGUUAGAUCCCCUGGGACUGGAAUGGCAGAUGCUUUGUGAGCUGCCACAUGGGUGUUGGGAAUUGAACCCAGGUCUUCUGGAAAAGUAAGUGAAUGAAAACAUGAAAUAAAAGAUUUUUAUUGUAGAUGUAAGGGAGAAGGAAGGCAGAGGGAAGAGUCCAGGAUGAACACGGCUGGCAGACUAAACCAGACCAUGAAAGGAGAAAGGGAAAGAGAGAGCAACAGAGCAGCCGCUGACCAAGAGUAGGCAGCCAGGGCCAAGAGACUAGUGUAACCCAAAUGUCUGGGUUACUCAGAGAUCAGGCUGGGGGAAGGGAAGAAGGGAAGUGGAAGCCCAGUCCCUGGGAGGGAUUGGCUUCCAGUAAAGGGUGGGUUGAGAGGUGUUGGGAGGAGUCACAGCUACUGAGACUUGUCCUGGGUUUGAGACUAACAGUAGCCAGUGCUCUUAACUGCUGAAUAUAUUACAGUCUUUAGACCUCAGCUUUCUCCAUUGAACGAGAAGGGGUUCAUCCAGCUGUGACCGUCAAAUCAAGGUGGCUUUUCUUAUGUGUAGACACCUACAAUGUCCUUCCCUUCGUGGUUUCUUCCUCUUCUCUGGCUCCCAUGCACGAAUGUGCAUCAGUGUCUCUGAGGAUUAAUAUUGGUUGGCAACUUGACAAGACCUAGUGAAUGAUCCCUUAUCAUUACACAGAGCCUUUUUUAGCUUAUGGCAGUUUUAUUUUGUUUUGUUUUAACAGUCUUGGUAUGUAAUCAAGGCUGGCCUCAAACUUAUGACCCUCCAUUGUCUGUCAUGAGUGCUGGGAUUACAUGACUGCACUAUCAUGCCCAGCCUUUCUUGUGACUAUUUUUGACUCAGAUUCACUCUGUGAGGGAUUAGUGUAGCUAUUUCUGCAUUACCAUCGGCACAGACUGUGUUCUGUCCUUUCAUUUCCAGUCUGUGUGCCCUGUAUCUAAAGUGAGUUUCUUGUAGGCAGCACAUUGGUGAACCCUAGAUUUCUUUCCCCAAUCAACCACAUUACACCAUUUGUCUUUGGAGGAGAGUGGAGUGGAGCCACCUAUGACUCCUCCUCUCUGGGGUUGGUGCCUUCUUCUUGGUGUCUUUGGAACCUUCAGAGCUACUUCCUGGCACUAAACUUUUAUAAGUUGGCCUACAACUCAACAUUCUGUGUAAAAGGCAGUGACUCUUUGAUAGUAGAAACUUUACCCUUACCCUGACUUUGCAAGCACAGUGCCAAGCGUGGAGCAGGAACUCUGUCCCUUCUGAAUGACCACUGUUGGUGACCAUAUUAACAUUUAUCAAACUCUUGUAUUGGGUCAGGCGCCGUGUGAACACAUUUUGCUUCUGUCUUAGUUACUGUUCUAUUGCUGCGAAGAGACACCAUGACCAAAGAAACUUACAAAAGAAAGCAUUUAAUUGGGGGCUUGCUUACAGCUUUAGAGGGUUAGUUAGUCAUGGUGGGGAGUACUCUGGCAGACAGGCAGACAAAGUGCUGGAGCAGUCGAAGAGAGUUUACAUCUGAUCUGCAAGUUACAAGGGAGAGAGAGAGAGGAAGGGAGGGAGGGAGAGAGAGAGAGAGAGAGAGAGAGAGAGAGAGAGAGAGAGAGAGGGAGCAAGUACAAGAUUGGGCCUGGCAGGGGCUUUUAAAACCUCAAAGCUCACCCCCCCAGUGACACACCUCCUCAAACAAGGCCACACCACCUAAUCCCUCCUAAACAGUCCACCAUCUGGGAACCAGCCAUUCAAAUAUAUGAGCCUGUGGGGAUCAUUUUCAUUCAAACCGCCAUAACUUCCAUUAUUUCUUUUAAUUCUUCCCACAGGCUGAUGAAGUAAUUAUUGAUUGCUUGGGCACGGGGGGCAGGGGGGGGGGCGGCGGUGUGAGUAAAGGAAAUUUCUGUCUCUCUCAGCUGGGAAAAGCAGACCAGUAUUCAAAUCCAGGUAUCCAAUCUGGAUUACCACCUCAUGAUUGCCUCUGUUAGUGUCUCAUUUUGUUCAAUGUGACAGAGCGCUCCAAAGGAGUAACAACCUGGCUCAAACAGAAAUUGUGUAUCUCUCACUGGGAAGAAGCCCGAGACAGGCAGCAGGGAUUGCACAGCAGUGGAGCAGAGGCAUCAGGACCCCAGGGCUCUCCUCUCUGUGCUCCACCCUUUGGAGAAGCAGCCAGAUUUAAAACCUCAUGGGCAAGGCAGCUACUACAGCUCCUGUUAAAGAACACGCACACUCCGGGUCUUUCAGGCACCUUUUUGAAGUUUACACAUGCUGCCAUGUUUUCUUUGUGUGUGUCUGUGCAGGCUAGUUUCCGUGUCAACUUGACACAGACGGAAGGCAAUUACUGCAUUAGUGAUUGAUACUCAGCCUGAGCAGGAGCUGGUGGGGCCGUAUUAAUAGUCUUCCUCUUUGCUGUGAGGCAGGGAGGGAGGGAGGGAGGGAAGAAAGGGGGUCUGUUUGGUUUAAAUUUCAACAUUAGUGUAUCCUGGCAGCAGAGGCAGUGCAACAGGAGCAUGACGCUGGACACACUGUAUCCACAGUGAGGAGGAGGAGGAGGAGGAUGAGCAGGAGGAGGAGGAGGAGGAGGAGGAGGAGGAAAGAAGAAGAAGAAGAAGAAGAAGAAGAAGAAGAAGAAGAAGAAGAAGAAGAAGAAGAAGAAGAAGAAGAAGAGAAAAAGCCUUGGGCUCAGCUCAGCUUCUUGUUAUUCAGAUCUAGUCUGUGAUGCUGCCACAUUUAGGGUUGACUCCCUCCACACAAAUGUGCAUUGAGGCUUGUGUUCAUGGUGAUUCUAAAUCCUAUCAAGCUGCCCAUCACAGGGCUCCUACGUGGACCAGGCUGGAGAAGCAGGAGGUGGCAGGCAUAGGUGCAGCCCCCUUACCCACGCUGUUACACUGUAUCACCUUCCAGUGUGGUUAUGGAGCUCCAGUGGUAAUCUUUCCAUCUCCAACAAGGACCUCUCUCUCUCUCUCUCUCUCUCUCUCCAGACAGGGUUUCUCUGUGUAGCUUUGGAGCCUAUCCUGGCACUUGCUCUGGAAACCAGGCUGGCCUCGAACUCACAGAGAUCCACCUGCCUCUGCCUCCCAAGGGCUGGGAUUAAAGGUGUGCGCCACCAACACCCGGCAAGGACAUGUCUCUUUCUGCCUACUUUCCUUCCCCUGUCCCUACAGUUCUCUAGGUCAUUUCCAGAAUAAAAUACCUUCUCAGACUCCUUUUAAUGUCCGACUCUUGGGAAACCCAGCCCAAGACAUGAUGUCUCUCCAUGCCUCUGUUCCAGCAUCUGGAAUAUUCUCUACUCCUCCUGCAUCUUACUCCAGAAACAGAGCAAAGCAAUGAUGGGCGCUCUUGAGCGUAGAGGUGGAGGAGCUAUCGAGACAUUGCAGCAAUCCACAAGGAGUGAGAGUAUCACAGCUCUGAAGCAGAGAUCAGGUUCUACCCAAGUCAGUGACGAGAAAAACCAAUGGUGAAAUAUGCAGGAACCAGGCGGUGAAAAGGACACCAGAAGCAUACGAAGGGCACAGUCCUCUUCACCCAACACAGUGGGAAAUUCACAGACACUUCUCCACCUUAGACCAGGUAAGAGCCCAGGAAAAUCCCAAAGUCUUUGUUUUAUGGCACACAGCCAUGCAAGCUGAAGAGUAAGGGCAUGUUCCGAAAGACAUGGCAUUAAGGGGACUUCCUCCGAGUGUGACUGACCUAGUGUGGACUUAUAUAAACCCACAUGGUGGAGAUCAGCCACUCAGUAUUGUUAAACCCCCGAAAACUCAAGUAUCUGGGGUCCCAGGCCACGACUGCGGUCACCCCAAUCACCAGGCGGAUUCGAGAGCUUGAUGCAAACUGCACGAGGCUUUAUUGUAAUUUAACGAGCUAACCCCAUGUUAACUCAGGUCUUUCACCCACCCGCCAUGGCGGAUGGCUAGAAAAGACAGUUUGAAGCCGCUGCACACAGAUCUUUAUAGGGCAGCGUAAGGGGAGUGUCUAGGGGUACGCACAGGCUCAGGAUUGGUGUGCCUCCAGCCUUGGAGGGCUUGCCCUGUGUUGAUUGGUCAACUGGCUGUUAUGGCCCAUAGGCCCUCCCAGGGUGGUUGCUAUGCUCUGUGCGUCAUUGCUGUGCGCUUGUCCGUAAAGCACACCCAGGGUCGUAAAGCAUAGUGCCACCAGCUAACUUCUGAUUGGUUCCUUGUCACGAGGCAGGCAUCUGACCUCUAAGUGACCAAGGCAGGUUUAUGGCAAGCACGUGUUUGGCUGUUAUGGCUGCCGAAAGGGAAGCUGGUCCCUUCAUUAUGACCACAUGAUGUAAUCAAAGAGAUGCUGUAAACAUGAGAUGUUCAGUGCACUUUAAAAAUAACCCAAAACCAUGUGCUCUGACACAAGGAUGAAAACUGUGGUACAGUGACUAUAUAAACCAGGGUGACGUCAACUUGAUUGGAUUGAGAAAUUCCCAAAAGAUCAGUAAGACGUGCUUCAGGAUGUGUACGAAAAGACAUUUUCUGAGGUGAUUGGCAUGCAGGACAGCAAGAGAGAUGGACCCCAGGAACACAGACAGCACCAGCCUACAGGCUAGGGACCAGAUGCAACCAAGUUGGAAAGAGGAAGAAGCCCAGUUGGAAAGAGGAAGAAGCCCACUAGCACAAGCUCACGACUGCACUUCCUGCUUCCUGGCUGCCACAUGGUGAGCAGCACCGCUGCAACCCCCCCCAACCAUGAUGAUUCUGCCUUGUCUUAAACAAACAAUUAGCAAAGAACAAUGCAGUGAGCUGACCAUGAGUCAAAACCUCUGCAAUCAUGAGCUAUAGGGUGUGUAUGAAAUUCUGGCCUGAGCAAAUGUGCAUUCUUUGACACAAGCACAGCCAUGUCAAGGACCCCGAAUAGGCCCACAGCAUACCUCAGUGUCUGCGCCUCGUGCCAUCCCUCUUUCUCAUCUUGCCGUCUGAAGCGUUUAUCUAAUAAUCUUAUUAUCAAUAAUAACUCAAGAGUCAGAUAUCGGGGUAAGAACCUGAAUGAUGAGAGAAGUGAAGGAGAAGCAACCAGUGACCCCACCCCUCUCUCCUUAAUCCAGUCUGUCUAAGCCCCACCCUACUACCUCCUGUUGGUCCUCUGUCCUCCAAAACCUCUAUGGCUAAUUUUGGUCAGCUAGUAGCUAGCUCCACCUUCUGAUUCAAAGUAAACUUUAUUGGAAGCCUCGGGAGUGUCAGAGUGAGAUCAAAUAUUGCACAACAGCCCUCACUAUACCCCACAGCUCAGCAUUCUCACACUGUAUGCCCGCUCUCUGCUGAGUCUUUAACCUCUCUCUUCUCUAUUUUUAAUGUUGUUCCCAUAUCUUCUGCAAGACUGCCUCCUCCUUGGCCUGAUGGGAAUGGCAAUCUCACUGCCAGUAAGAACCGGUCCCUUCUGCCCUUUGUCUGCCCAGAGGCUCAAGAUGGAUAAGCAUGCAGUAUAACAUGCUUUCCUCAUGACGUCGCAUGAGUCCUUCAGGUUUGUGUCCUGGAGACACAGCGCACAGCCCGGCACAUAGAUGAUUCUAUAAUGUGUAUAAUAACAAUCAAUAUUUUAAAGGUACAGACUGUGUGCCUGGCUUUGUUCUUAGAUGCAGUCACUCCCUAAGCUGUGCAGGUCACGGCAACGAGCCUAGGUAUAACUUUCUUCCUUUCAGUUGCUUUUCUCUUGGGUAUUUGGUCAGAGCAACGAGAAGUAACCAGCACAACUAAUAACACACUUGAUAAUAUAACUAUCAACUGUUAUAAACUGCAUAUAACUGUAUGUGCUCUGCCUUUCUGAGACAAACAGCACAGUACUUUUGUUUAUGCUCUCGUCACUACUAAGGUGGGAUUGGAUGAGUGAGAACGGAUGAUACAGAUGUACAAUGGGGGGCAUAUGAACGACAAAAUAAAGAGUGGAUGCGUAGGCGGAUAGAUGGAUGACUGUGCACCUGGGCAAUGACUGGAUUAUGAAUCAAAGAAUGGAGAGAGACGACCUAGCAAAUGUAUGGGAUGUGGUUUGCAUGCACAUAUCAGUGAACAACUAGAUGAUUGUUGGAAUGUAGAGAUGAUGUGUAACAAUAAGUCUUUCCACCAAGCCACCCGAGCCCUGCUGCCACGUGGGUGCUUUCCACCAGGUCGCCCAAGUUCCGCCCGCCACCACAUUAAGGUCCCAAGUCACACACAGAGACUUAUAUUUUGUACAAAUGCUGCUUGGCCAGUGACUAGGAUUUCUCAUCUGCUAGCUCAGUCUUAAUUAUCAUAAAUCUAUAUAUUUUAUAAAACUUAUCUUAUUGGAUGCCAGCAGAAGCAUCCUGUCUUCCCGGGAUAACGUGGUGACUCUGCGCUUUC
ensembl:lncRNA